CGCGGCCAUGAUGACGGAGAGCUGCUCGUGGAGAGCUUUGCUGCUUAAACCGGACAUCCCGACGAACCAACGGAACCCGAACCGGAACCGGACCACACGGAGCCGCAAGGUUUACCUGAGGGUGGCUCACCUGUUGAGCGUCCACCCUACCAUCAUGCUGAGCUCACCUGAGGCAAGAUGUGAGCGUGGGUUGAUGAUUCAGCUGUACAGCUGCAUUUAAAGGAGGAAGGCCCCUCUUUGGAGGAAGCCAGCGUUCACAUUUUGCAGUUUGAGAGAGGAGUGAAGGAGGUCAAGUGUCCACUGUGAUCCACCAUCACUGAACAGGAAUGGUCGCUUAGGACAUCGGCUCUCAGGACACGACAAACAUUUCCUCAGGUGACCUCAACAGCUCACGACUCCGAGUCCAUUUGGGUUGACCCUAUCCUCAGUGGCUGAGAACCUACACAGACGUAUUUAUAUUGUUUAUCAUUUUGUUAUUUUUCACUUGUGUAAAUAUGAGAAAGAAUAGAAGCCAAUUAAGAUUCAAGUAAAUGCAAUAUAAAUAGAACAGGCGUGGGACUGUAAAUAUGUGAACAAGAACAUAAACAAACUGAUAUUCUGUUUGCUGUUCAGAUCCUUGAAGCAUUUGUAAAACUAAUGAUAUUUUUGCUGAACUGCUUUGAGGCGUGUGUGUGUGUGUGUCUGUGUGUGUGUGUCACUGUGUGAAUAAUUUAAAGACAGAUUCUGGUUGUUUUUAUUAGAAACUGCAGGCUGAGCCGUGGAGCUGUCAGUUUGAACGGAGAGCACGGUUCAGACUCCAAACACACAACAAAGAGAAAACGCUGCCUGAGGAAACGCUCUGAUUGGCUGCCAGGUGUCACCUCAGAAAGCAGAACUCCAGGACUCGCCUCCGCUGUCACCUCCAGCACCGCGACACGUCCACAUCGUCUGAGGUUUGACGCCUUCGGCUGCUUGGUGCUGACUCCAGCA